AUGGGUAGAGGCAGAGGAGGCCGCAACCGCAAGCCCCGCAACUCCGCCACGUUCCGCCUCUGCCCGCGCCCCGGCGCCGCCGACCCCUCCGACCGCGUCCUCGUCCGCGUCGACGGCAACCCGUACCGCGUCCCCGGCCUCGACGACGACGACGACGACGCCUGCUGCUACUUCGAGGGCGCCGAGCCCUCGUCCUCGCCCUCCGGGGCCGCCCUCCCCGACCACGUCCGCCGCGCGAUCCUGGAGCUCGGCCUCCCCGACGACGGCUACAACUACCUCGCCCACAUCCGCGAGAUCCGCCCCUCGUACUCCUCCACCGGUGGCGGGGGCUCGUCCGCCGUGUUCCUCCCCACCCGCCGCGCUGCGCGCUGCGGUCUCCCGCUGAGCGUCAAGGCAUACGACGCGCGUGGUGUUGAUGUUGGUCUGGACAAUGUCGCUGCAACGGGGGCGCUGAUUCCAGUGGAGGAGGCCAUCGACCCGGAUGUCACCGAACUGCUCGAGGAGAGCGACAACGUUCCACCGGGGUCCUUGGAGGAUGAGGAUGAAGAGAGUGAGGUGCCACCGGGGAUCGUGGAAGAUGAGGAUGAGGAGAGCGAGGUCCCACCGGAGACCUCGGAGGACGAAGAUUCGGAGCUGGAGGACGAUUUUGUUAUCAUUGCAAAUCAGCCCGAGGAGGAAGACCAGAUGGAUCUGGAGGACGAUUUUGUUAUCCUUGCAAACCAGUCUGACGGCGAAGAGCAGAUGGACGUGAUGGCCAGCAGGUUGGAGCGAGGCAGUUUCAUGGCUGCCUUAUGGGCAUGUUAA
rnacentral:rRNA from 1 species